rnacentral:rRNA from 1 species
UACAGAGGGUGCGAGCGUUAAUCGGAAUUACUGGGCGUAAAGAGCGCGCAGGCGGUCGUUCAAGUCGCGUGUGAAAGCCCCCGGCUCAACUGGGGAGGGUCACGCGAUACUGAUCGACUCGAAGGCAGGAGAGGGUAGUGGAAUUCCCGGUGUAGUGGUGAAAUGCGUAGAUAUCAGGAGGAACACCGGUGGCGAAGGCGGGGUCUCUGGGCCGAUACUGACGCUGAGGAGCGAAAGCGUGGGGAGCGAACAGG